UACGUAGGGGGCAAGCGUUGUCCGGAUUUAUUGGGCGUAAAGAGCGUGUAGGCGGCCGUACAGGUCAGCUGUGAAAACUCGAGGCUCAACCUCGAGACGUCGGUUGAAACCGUACGGCUAGAGUCCGGAAGAGGAGAGUGGAAUUCCCGGUGUGAGCGGUGAAAUGCGCAGAUAUCGGGAAAGAACACCCGUGGCGAAGGCGGCUCUC
rnacentral:rRNA from 1 species